rnacentral:rRNA from 1 species
AACGAACGCUGGCGGCAUGCCUAACACAUGCAAGUCGAACGAGACCUUCGGGUCCAGUGGCGCACGGGUGCGUAACGCGUGGGAACCUGCCCUUAGGUUCGGAAUAACUCCCCGAAAGGGGUGCUAAUACCGGAUAAUGUCUUCGGACCAAAGAUUUAUCGCCUUUGGAUGGGCCCGCGUUGGAUUAGCUAGUUGGUAGGGUAAAAGCCUACCAAGGCGACGAUCCAUAGCUGGUCUGAGAGGAUGAUCAGCCACACUGGGACUGAGACACGGCCCAGACUCCUACGGGAGGCAGCAGUGGGGAAUAUUGGACAAUGGGCGAAAGCCUGAUCCAGCAAUGCCGCGUGAGUGAUGAAGGCCUUAGGGUUGUAAAGCUCUUUUACCCGGGAUGAUAAUGACAGUACCGGGAGAAUAAGCGCCGGCUAACUCCGUG